rnacentral:rRNA from 1 species
AAGUCUGUUCGACUUUUGAAUCUUUACAUGAUCUGAGUUCAGACCGGCGUGAGCCAGGUUGGUUUCUAUCUGCAAUUUUUUUUACAUUUUAGUACGAAAGGACCGAGUGUAUGUAAUAUUUAUUUUUUAUUGAAUAUUAUUAACUAUUUUGGCAGAUUAAGUGCGAUAAAUUUAGAAUUUAUAAAUGUAAUAUUUAUUACAAAUAGUA